rnacentral:rRNA from 1 species
UUUUGGACAAUGGGCGAAAGCCUGAUCCAGCAAUGCCGCGUGUGGGAAGAAGGCCUUCGGGUUGUAAACCACUUUUGUACGGAACGAAACGGUCUGCUUUAAUACAGUGGGCUAAUGACGGUACCGUAAGAAUAAGCACCGGCUAACUACGUGCCAGCAGCCGCGGUAAUACGUAGGGUGCGAGCGUUAAUCGGAAUUACUGGGCGUAAAGCGUGCGCAGGCGGUUAUAUAAGACAGUUGUGAAAUCCCCGGGCUCAACCUGGGAAUUGCGUCUGUGACUGUAUAGCUAGAGUACGGUAGAGGGGGAUGGAAUUCCGCGUGUAGCAGUGAAAUGCGUAGAUAUGCGGAGGAACACCGAUGGCGAAGGCAAUCCCCUGGACCUGUACUGACGCUCAGCACGAA